CAUGGUGUAACAAUACAUCAUGUAGAUGUAUAUAAUGAACAGACUAGGUCUAUACUGCUCCUACAUGGUGUAACAAUACAUUUUGUAGAUGUAUAUAAUGAACAGACUAGGUCUAUACUGCUCCUACAUGGUGUAACAACACAUCAUGUAGAUGUAUAUAAUGAACAGACAAGGUCUAUACUGCUCCUACAUGCUUGCCACAGAUUGCGUGCAAGGAUUCAAAAUCAUCACAGCACAGCUACAUCAUUCCAUACAUCAGAUGGAUGGGGCGGCAGGGUAGCCUAGUGGUUAGAGCAUUGGACUAGUAACCGGGAAGGUUGCAAGUUCAAACCCCCGAACUGACAAGGUACAAAUCAGGUACAGUGAAUUUGUUCUUUAACUGACUUGCCUAGUUAAAUAAAGGUAAAAUAAAAAAAAUAAGAGAACUGACUAAACAUCUCACCAAUUGCUCUGCCAGGUACAAUGGAAAGCUUGUCAAAAAUCUGAAAGAAGCAGAUGAGCAGAAGAAGCCACACCAGAUGGGACACCAAUGUAGAGUUGGGCUGUAUAUUGUGAUUAAACAGUGAAAUAAGACCUGUACAUGUGACGUUGUUUGUUACUUUUUUUUUUUAAA
ensembl:lncRNA